UCCCCGAUAGCUCAACGGUAGAGCGAGCGGCUGUUAACCGCUAGGUUCUAGGUUCGAAUCCUAGUCGGGGAG
rnacentral:tRNA from 1 species